UAAUUAUAUUGUUCUAUUAUGCCCAGACAGUGUAAUUUUGGAACGAAUCGAUGUCAACGCUCACAAGAAUAAAAACCGGAACAACAUUAGACUACUCAGUCGCGCCCUAACAGUAUAACUUUGCAACGAGUACUUUUUCUCAUUUUAUCGAAGAAAGCGUCAAACCUAAUUAUAUUGUUCUAUAAUGCCCAGAGAGUGUAAAUUUGGAACGAAUCGAUAUCAACACUCACAAAAAUAAAAACCGGAACAACAUUUGAGUACUCAGUUGUGCCUCUAACAGGUAUAACUUUUUGCAACCAGUACUUUAUUCUCAUUUUUUUGAAGUAAGCGGCCAAAACUAAUUUAUAUUGUAUUCUAUUUAGCCCCAGAGAGCUUGUAAAUUUCUGGAACGAAUUGAUGUCAACGCUCCACAAGAACAAAAACUGGAACAAAAUUAGGCUACUUAGUUGCGCCCUAACAGUAUAACUUUGCAACGAGUGCUUUUUCACAUUUUAUCGAAGAAAGCGUCAAACCUAAUUAUAUUGCUCUAUAAUGCCCAGAGAGUGUAAAUUUGGAACGAAUCGAUAUCAACACUCACAAAAAUAAAAACCGGAACAACAUUUGAGCACUCAGUUGUGUGCCCUUAACAGGUAUAACUUUUGCAACCAGUACUUUUUCUUCAUUUUAUCGAAAGUAAUGCGUCAAAACUAAUUUAUAUUAUGUCUCUUUUACGCCCAGAAGAGAGUAAAUCUGGAACGGAAUCGAUGUCAACGCUCACAAGAACAAAAACUGGAACAAAAUUAGGCUACUUAGUUGCGCCCUAACAGUAUAACUUUGCAACGAGUGCUUUUUCACAUUUUAUCGAAGAAAGCGUCAAACCUAAUUAUAUUGCUCUAUAAUGCCCAGAGAGUGUAAAUUUGGAACGAAUCGAUAUCAACACUCACAAAAAUAAAAACCGGAACAACAUUUGAGUACUCAGUUGCGCCUUAACAGUAUAACUUUGCAACCAGUACUUUUUCUCAUUUUAUCGAAGUAAGCGUCAAACCUAAUUAUAUUAUUCUAUUAUGCCCAGAGAGUGUAAAUUUGGAACGAUUCGAUGUCAACGCUCACAAGAACAAAAACCGGAACAACAUUAGACUCUUCAGUUGCACCCUAACAGUAUAACUUUGCAACGCGUACUUUUUCUCGUUUUAUCGAAGAAAGCGUAAAAUCUAAUUAUAUUGUUGUAUUAUGCCCAGAUAGUGUAAAUUUGGAACGAAUCGAUGUCAACGCUCACAAGAACAAAAACCGGAACAACAUUAGAGCACUCAGUUCCGCCAUAACAGUAUAACUUUGCAACGAGUGCUUUUUUUCAUUUUAUCGAAGAAAGCGUAAAACCUAGUUAUAUUAUUCUAUUAUGCCCAGAGAGUGUAAAUUUGGAACGAAUCGAUUUCAACGCUCACAAGAACAAAAACCGGAACAACAUUAGACUACUCAGUUGCGCCCUAACAGUAUAACUUUGCAACGAGUACUUUUUCUCAUUUAUCGAAGAAAGCGUCAAACCUAAUUAUAUUGUUCUAUCUUGCCCAGAGAGUGUAAAUUUGGAACGAAUCGAUGUCAAAGCUCACAAGAACAAAAAUCGGAUCAAUAUUAGACUACUCAGUUGCGCCCUAACAGUAUAACUUUGCAACGAGUGCUUUUUCUCAUUUUAUCGAAGAAAGCGUAAAUCUAAUUAUAUUGUUCUAUUAUACCUAGAGAGUGUAAAAUUGGAACGAACUGAUGUGAGCGCUCACAAGAACAAAAACCGGAUCAAUAUUAGACUACUCAGUUCCGCCCUAACAGUAUAACUUUGCAACGAGUACUUUUUCUCAUUUAUCGAAGAAAGCGUCAAACCUAAUUAUAUUGUUCUAUUAUGCCCAGAGAGUGUAAAUUUGGAACGAAUCGAUUUUAAAGCUCACAAGAACAAAAACCGGAACAAUAUUAGACAACUCAGUUGCGCCCGAACAGUAUAACUUUGCAACGAGUGCUUUUUCUCAUUUUAUCGAAGAAAGCGUCAAACCUCAUUAUAUUGUUCUAUUAUGCCGAGAGAGUGUAAAUUUGGAACGAAUCGAUGUCAACGCUCACAAGAACAAAAACCGGAACAACAUUAGACUCUUCAGUUGCACCCUAACAGUAUAACUUUGCAACGCGUACUUUUUCUCGUUUUAUCGAAGAAAGCGUAAAAUCUAAUUAUAUUGUUGUAUUAUGCCCAGAUAGUGUAAAUUUGGAACGAAUCGAUGUCAACGCUCACAAGAACAAAAACCGGAACAACAUUAGAGCACUCAGUUCCGCCAUAACAGUAUAACUUUGCAACGAGUGCUUUUUUUCAUUUUAUCGAAGAAAGCGUAAAACCUAGUUAUAUUAUUCUAUUAUGCCCAGAGAGUGUAAAUUUGGAACGAAUCGAUUUCAACGCUCACAAGAACAAAAACCGGAACAACAUUAGACUACUCAGUUGCGCCCUAACAGUAUAACUUUGCAACGAGUACUUUUUCUCAUUUUAUCGAAGAAAGCGUAAAAUCUAAUUAUAUUGUUCUAUUAUUCCCAGAUAGUGUAAAUUUGGAACGAAUUGAUGUCAACGCUCACAAGAACAAAAACCGGAACAACUUUAGACUACUCAGUUGCGCCUAACAGUAUAACUUUGCAACGAGUACUUUUUCUCAUUUUAUCGAAGAAAGCGUCAAAACUAAUUAUAUUGUUCUAUUACGCCCAGAGAGUGUAAAUUUGGAACGAAUUGAUGUCAACGCUCACAAGAACAAAAACUGGAACAAAAUUAGGCUACUUAGUUGCGCCCUAACAGUAUAACUUUGCAACGAGUGCUUUUUCACAUUUUAUCGAAGAAAGCGUCAAACCUAAUUAUAUUGCUCUAUAAUGCCCAGAGAGUGUAAAUUUGGAACGAAUCGAUAUCAACACUCACAAAAAUAAAAACCGGAACAACAUUUGAGUACUCAGUUGCGCCUUAACAGUAUAACUUUGCAACCAGUACUUUUUCUCAUUUUAUCGAAGUAAGCGUCAAACCUAAUUAUAUUAUUCUAUUAUGCCCAGAGAGUGUAAAUC
rnacentral:lncRNA from 1 species